GUGACCCUGCGGAAGGAUCAUUGC
rnacentral:rRNA from 1 species